rnacentral:lncRNA from 1 species
CUUGGGUCUCCUCCCCAAGUCUGCUCAGUUUGUGAUCCUAGGGGUGAGGAGCUUGUGCCUCUCUCUAAAGGAAAGUCACUCUGUAGACUGAGCUACUAGAUGGUAGGGGGAGGAAGGAGGGUAACUCCUUGGAGAACUGGUAGGGUCUACAUGGAACUGAACUGGAGCCUGGGCGGUGAGGCUGAGGAGCCCACCCCUUGCCUGGGAGUGAUGCCUUCAAG